AACAAAGGUCCUGGCCUAGAUAGUUUCUUAGGCCUCACUGCUCUGUUGUUCUGCACUUGGAUCUGGCACUGAGGGACUUCGGGCACCUCUUCAAAGUCAAACUGAUCAUGAAAGUUUCCUGAGAAGGUGACUCUUGAAUAGAGGCCUGAAGAAGGUGAGGAAGCAACUCAUGAGAGGAAACAGCAAGUGCAAAUGUCCUGCGGCAAAA